rnacentral:rRNA from 1 species
CCUACGGGAGGCAGCAGUGGGGAAUAUUGGACAAUGGGCGAAAGCCUGAUCCAGCAAUGCCGCGUGAGUGAUGAAGGCCUUAGGGUUGUAAAGCUCUUUUACCAGGGAUGAUAAUGACAGUACCUGGAGAAUAAGCUCCGGCUAACUCCGUGCCAGCAGCCGCGGUAAUACGGAGGGAGCUAGCGUUGUUCGGAAUUACUGGGCGUAAAGCGUACGUAGGCGGUUAUUCAAGUCAGAGGUGAAAGCCUGGAGCUCAACUCCAGAACUGCCUUUGAAACUAGAUAGCUAGAAUCUUGGAGAGGUGAGUGGAAUUCCGAGUGUAGAGGUGAAAUUCGUAGAUAUUCGGAAGAACACCAGUGGCGAAGGCGACUCACUGGACAAGUAUUGACGCUGAGGUACGAAAGCGUGGGGAGCAAACAGGAUUAGAUACCCUGGUAGUCCACGCCGUAAACGAUGAUAACUAGCUGUUCGGGCUCUACGAGCUUGAGUGGCGCAGCUAACGCAUUAAGUAUCCGCCUGGGGAGUACGGUCGCAAGAUUAAAAACNCAAAAGGAAUUGACGNNGAGACGAGCGAGACGACGACGAGGAGAG